rnacentral:lncRNA from 1 species
AUGAUAAGGCUACACACACCCCACCUCCAGGAGACUUUAGCACCGUCGCCAGCCAAUCUCCCUUUCUUAUUCCUCCCCUCCAUGCCAAGGCUCCCCAACAGAGGAAGAAAACAAAUGCUUCUGGUUACCCAAGUGCGGAGCGCUGUGCUAGCAGAGAAUUUGUGUGUUAAACUGCCUGGCACCGAGGAGGUCGUUGCUCCUCUCGCCAGCCUGGCACGAACUUUAGCUCUCCUCAGACUUCAGUGUCCCGUCAGUGCCUCAUGGCACGACAGCCCAGAUCUCAGUAGCCAAGUUCGCCCCUGCGAUUUAGACUCUCGUGUUUGCACCCGGGCACUCAGGGCCGGUACCCCCGACGCCCCUUCCCCGGGCCCAAUCCCGACCGCUCGGGACCCCUUUCCCCGCCUCUCGCGGUUCCGCACCUGGUCCGGCGGGUGGGCACGCUGCUCCGCGCUCCCGGCGCCUCCCGCUCGGCUUCUGCGUUUUGACAAGCAGAGGCAGCCCAGCACCUGGCCCCGCCUCCCUCAGGCCUCCGCCCCUCUCCGGGCCCCGCCUCUGGACACGCCCCUUCCCUUGGCCCGGCCCAGAGGACCUGCCUCGCCCCGCGAGCGCGCUGGCGGCUUUGCAACCAUCUUGCCUCGGAAUCAACCACUGGGAGACUCUGCCCGGGGUAGUCCUCCGCGACUGAGGUGCACAGGGCGAGGCGUGCUUCUGUCCGCUGUGCGUGCGAGUUUUCAAUGGUUACGUGUGUGCAGAUCCACGCUGUGCCCGCGGCAAUCUGUGAUGCAUUCGCCCACCUCCCGCCGCCAGGGCUUUACCCAGCCUGCUGCAGACGCCUCUUCCAGGUGCGUCACCCCGACCUGGGCUGACCGGACCGGGACUUCGUCGUCUGCCGGGCUGGGGGCGUCUGCCGCCGGCAUCAUCAGUUCUCUCUGCGCUCGUGGGAAAUCCCGGGCGCCGCUCGCGGUCGCGUUACUUCUGCAGAGCGCCAGGGAGCUCAGCCCGACCCCACAGGCUAGGAUAAAAGAGCAAACGGAAAACGGGGCCCAAGUGGAGCCUGGAGCUGCGUCGUUGUCCCCCUCGAAACCGCCUAGCCCGCGACCGCGGCUGAUCACGUCGCGAACCUCAUCCUAG